AUCAGCUUUUUGAGUGUGAUUAUGUGGAUUGUGAGGAGUUUAAUCACCCUCACGUUUUACGUAUUCGUGCUCUUGGGUGUACUUGCCCGUGUGGUAGGUUAACAUCAAUUUUGGUCGUCAUAAAAUGACUGGAGGAAUGUAGCUUUGGUCUCGUAUCGAAGUGUUAUAGACUCUGGUAGAUGUGACGAUUGGGAUUGAGGAUUGCAACGGAUACCCUUCGGGGCUACUCGUCUGAUCUCUGAAGGUUGCUCCGGUGCCGAAAGCGUGCUUACGGUCAUCGAAAGUGAUUUUCAAAAGGUUAGAACGGGUUAAAUUCGUUAAGGAUGUUGACGUAGUGGCUUU
rnacentral:rRNA from 1 species